AUUGAACGCUGGCGGCAUGCCUUACACAUGCAAGUCGAACGGCAGCGGACCUUCGGGUGCCGGCGAGUGGCGAACGGGUGAGUAAUAUAUCGGAACGUACCUUUCAGUGGGGGAUAACGUAGCGAAAGUUACGCUAAUACCGCAUAUUCUGUGAGCAGGAAAGCAGGGGAUCGCAAGACCUUGCGCUGAUUGAGCGGCCGAUAUCAGAUUAGCUAGUUGGUGAGGUAAAGGCUCACCAAGGCGACGAUCUGUAGCGGGUCUGAGAGGAUGAUCCGCCACACUGGAACUGAGACACGGUCCAGACUCCUACGGGAGGCAGCAGUGGGGAAUUUUGGACAAUGGGCGCAAGCCUGAUCCAGCCAUGCCGCGUGAGUGAAGAAGGCCUUCGGGUUGUAAGACGUCUUUCGGUCCGGGAACGGAAAGUAC
rnacentral:rRNA from 1 species